rnacentral:rRNA from 1 species
CCAAUAGCGUAUAUUAAAGUUGUUGCAGUUAAAAAGCUCGUAGUUGAAUUUCGGGGUUCUACCGUUGGUCGGGCAAUUGUCUGUACUGGCGUGUGGAAUUUCUACCUUCUGGGGAACCAUCAUGUUAUUAAUUUAGCGUGGUGGGAAACCAGGACCUUUACCUUGAAAAACUUAGAGUGUUCAAAGCAGGCUUACGUCUGAAUACAUUAGCAUGGAAUAAUAAAAUAGGACGGUGGUCCUGUUUUGUUGGUUUCUGAAUCACCGUAAUGAUUAAUAGGGAUAGUUGGGGGCAUUAGUAUUCAAUUGUCAGAGGUGAAAGUCUUGGAUUUAUUGAAGACUAACUUCUGCGAAAGCAUUUGCCAAGGAUGUUUUCAUUAAUCAAGAACGAAAGUUAGGGGAUCGAAGACGAUCAGAUACCGUCGUAGUCUUAACCAUAAACUAUGCCGACUAGGGAUCGGACGAUGUUAAUUUUUCUUGACUCGUUCGGCGCCUUACG